CACUGGAACUGAGACACGGUCCAGACUCCUACGGGAGGCAGCAGUGGGGAAUAUUGCACAAUGGGCGCAAGCCUGAUGCAGCCAUGCCGCGUGUAUGAAGAAGGCCUUCGGGUUGUAAAGUACUUUCAGCGGGGAGGAAGGGAGUAAAGUUAAUACCUUUGCUCAUUGACGUUACCCGCAGAAGAAGCACCGGCUAACUCCGUGCCAGCAGCCGCGGUAAUACGGAGGGUGCAAGCGUUAAUCGGAAUUACUGGGCGUAAAGCGCACGCAGGCGGUUUGUUAAGUCAGAUGUGAAAUCCCCGGGCUCAACCUGGGAACUGCAUCUGAUACUGGCAAGCUUGAGUCUCGUAGAGGGGGGUAGAAUUCCAGGUGUAGCGGUGAAAUGCGUAGAG
rnacentral:rRNA from 1 species